GCGCGAAUUCGCCCUUAGACUUGAUCAUGGCUCAGGACGAACGCUGGCGGCGUGCCUAACACAUGCAAGUCGAACGGAGAAUUAGCAAUAAUUCUUAGUGGCGAACGGGUGAGUAACGCGUAGACAGACCUACCCUUAAGAUGGGGACAACAGAUCGAAAGGUCUGCUAAUACCGAAUAUUGUAAAAGAAACGCAUGUUUCUUUUACAAAAGAUGGCCUCUAUUUAUAAGCUAUCGCUAAAGGAUGGGUCUGCGUCUGAUUAGCUAGUUGGUGAGAUAAAAGCUCACCAAGGCAACGAUCAGUAGCCGGUCUGAGAGGAUGAACGGCCACACUGGGACUGAGACACGGCCCAGACUCCUACGGGAGGCAGCAGUGGGGAAUCUUCCGCAAUGGACGAAAGUCUGACGGAGCAACGCCGCGUGAGUGAAGAAGGUUUUCGGAUCGUAAAGCUCUGUUGUUAAGGACGAAUGUAUAGAUUGUAAAUAAUGAUUUAUAAUGACGGUACUUAACGAGAAAGCCACGGCUAACUACGUGCCAGCAGCCGCGGUAAUACGUAGGUGGCAAGCGUUGUCCGGAAUUAUUGGGCGUAAAGGGAGCGCAGGUGGGAAUGUAAGUCAAUCUUAAAAGUGCGGGGCUCAACCCCGUGAUGGGAUAGAAACUACAUUUCUUGAGUGCAGGAGAGGAAAGUGGAAUUCCUAGUGUAGCGGUGAAAUGCGUAGAUAUUAGGAGGGACACCAGUGGCGAAGGCGACUUUCUGGACUGUAACUGACACUGAGGCUCGAAAGCUAGGGGAGCGAACGGGAUUAGAUACCCCGGUAGUCCUAGCCGUAAACGAUGGGUACUAGGUGUAGGAGGUAUCGACCCCUUCUGUGCCGGAGUUAACGCAAUAAGUACCCCGCCUGGGGAGUACGGCACGNAAGGUUGAAACUCAAAUGAAUUGACGG
rnacentral:rRNA from 1 species